AUUUUAAGCAAGAAAAUCCACUACCCUGCAAAAAGUUCUUCCAACAAAUAUUUUUGUGUGUGCAGCUCAGAUCAAUCUUCCUAUUCAUUCAUUGCACGCUGUUAUUCUGCAGGACCGGCGAAGUGCAAGGUCAUGUACAAGGGAUAAGCUGGUCAAUGAAGGAAAUUCUAAAAGAAAGCGACUACAAGCAACAUUUGAAGUGAGCUGGGAGCCGGGGUCAUCCUUCUCACCACCAGUCGAACAUACUACUUCAGCCACCAUGUUGAGCGAUAUAAAAGUGUUCUCUAUUUCAGAGAGCAACAACACGAGAUUGUGCCCCCUCUUGCUCCAUGUGCAUGUUGCUGUAAUUAGUAUCACUAGAUUAAAUCAUGGACCAUGUCUCUGUUUCAUACCACCUCCGUUCAUAAAUAGAUAGCUUCCUAGAGAUUGUGCGGUCCUAAGGCCAUCCACACUAUUGCCCGUUAAAGCGUAUUGAGUGCAUCAAGCCUAAUUUUCUAUUGGACAGAUUUUGUUCUGUAAUCUAUUAGUGUUAGAACAAUACAAAUUUUCCUAUUUUGCAGAAACUAACUUAGUGCUUCCUUCUUUCGAGUUUGAAAUUCAGCAAUUCUUUUCCUUAAUCGCAAACUGAAUUGUUCGUCGUUGCUAUUUGGUUUCCCUUCUGUCUGGCAUAUUGAUGAUUUGAUCCGCAUUCAAGAAAGAAAUAUUCCAUGCAAGCCUCCAGCCUAAGUAAAGAAAUUUAUUUGCUUGCCAUUUGAAUAAAAAAAUUGAGCACGACAUUACAAAUGAGAAAAAAAUAUUUUUAUGCAGAUCCACGAUACUUCGCAAAAGAGUAUACAUCAACAUUGUCUGCUAGAAA